rnacentral:rRNA from 1 species
GAUGAACGCUGGCGGCGUGCCUAAUACAUGCAAGUCGAGCGAACAGACGAGGAGCUUGCUCCUUUGACGUUAGCGGCGGACGGGUGAGUAACACGUGGGUAACCUACCUAUAAGACUGGGAUAACUUCGGGAAACCGGAGCUAAUACCGGAUAAUAUUUCGAACCGCAUGGUUCGAUAGUGAAAGAUGGCUUUGCUAUCACUUAUAGAUGGACCUGCGCCGUAUUAGCUAGUUGGUAAGGUAACGGCUUACCAAGGCAACGAUACGUAGCCGACCUGAGAGGGUGAUCGGCCACACUGGAACUGAGACACGGUCCAGACUCCUACGGGAGGCAGCAGUAGGGAAUCUUCCGCAAUGGGCGAAAGCCUGACGGAGCUACGCCGCGUGAGUGAUGAAGGUCUUCGGAUCGUAAAACUCUGUUAUUAGGGAAGAACAAACGUGUAAGUAACUGUGCACGUCUUGACGGUACCUAAUCAGAAAGCCACGGCUAACUACGUG